CAUAAACCUUGUACCAUUUCCAGAAUCCUCUCUAUCAAUUUUGUCUAUUUGUUACAGGGAGCAAAAAUGUGGUUAAAUCUUCUGUCCAUACUUAUGGUCCUCAAAGGAGUCAAAUCUCAAAUACAGUUGGUGGAGUCUGGAGGAGAGGUGAAAAUAUCUGGAGAAUCCCUCCGUCUUUCCUGCCAAGCCUCUGGAUUCAGCUUCAGCAGCUAUUGGAUGGGCUGGAUAAGACAGGCUCCAGGGAAAGGAGUGGAAUGGGUGGCAUCCAUAGACACUAGUUCCGGUACUUACUACUCAAGCAAAGAUAAUGGACGCUUCACCAUCUCCAGGGACAAUGCCAAAAGCCAGCUGUAUCUGCAAAUGAACAGCCUCAAACCAGAGGACACAGCCAUCUAUUACUGUGCGAGAGACACAGUGAGAGGAAGUGAAUCUGAAGCCAGACAAGAACCUUCCUUUCUUCCCUCAUUAACUUUAUUAAGUCUCAUGUCCUAG